rnacentral:rRNA from 1 species
AGCGGCGAAUGGGUGAGUAACACGUGGGGAACCUGCCCCUAAGUCUGGGAUACCAUUUGGAAACAGGUGCUAAUACCGGAUAAUAAAGCAGAUCGCAUGAUCAGCUUUUGAAAGGCGGCGUAAGCUGUCGCUAAGGGAUGGCCCCGCGGUGCAUUAGCUAGUUGGUAAGGUAACGGCUUACCAAGGCGACGAUGCAUAGCCGAGUUGAGAGACUGAUCGGCCACAUUGGGACUGAGACACGGCCCAAACUCCUACGGGAGGCAGCAGUAGGGAAUCUUCCACAAUGGACGCAAGUCUGAUGGAGCAACGCCGCGUGAGUGAAGAAGGUUUUCGGAUCGUAAAGCUCUGUUGUUGGUGAAGAAGGAUAGAGGUAGUAACUGGCCUUUAUUUGACGGUAAUCAACCAGAAAGUCACGGCUAACUACGUGCCAGCAGCCGCGGUAAUACGUAGGUGGCAAGCGUUGUCCGGAUUUAUUGGGCGUAAGCGAGCGCAGGCGGAAAAAUAAGUCUAAUGUGAAGGCCCUCGGCUUAACCGAGGAACUGCAUCGGAAACUGUUUUUCUUGAGUGCAGAAGAGGAGAGUGGAACUCCAUGUGUAGCGGUGGAAUGCGUAGAUAUAUGGAAGAACACCAGUGGCGAAAGGCGGCUCUCUGGUCUGCAACUGACGCUGAGGCUCGAAAGCAUGGGUAGCGAACAGGAUUAGAUACCCUGGUAGUCCAUGCCGUAAACGAUGAGUGCUAAGUGU